UUGGUUUUCUCUAUUCUGUAUUGGACUUUCACUGUUUAGUAAGCAUUGUACACAAAUGAGGACCAUAAAUAAGUUAAUGUUUUAAUGUUCCGUUAACAGUUUGCUAAUAUUAAUAUAGUUGUCUUGGUAUCUGCGUUCUUUUUAUAUUUAAAAGUGAGGAUGUCAACAAAACCUCUUUAUUCAUAGCAGUGUACAACUUAUUCUUUGACCAUCUUGGGUAACCAUCUUCUGCAGAAGACCAAGUAUCAAGGAGUUCACAUGUUAAGUCCGAAAUAUAUUAGGAAAAUAAGAAAGCUUGUCCUUGUCUUUGUUUGUACAUAUCGAUUGUAGCAAAAAGAGGACUUUGGAUGAGGUGUGCUGCGAGAAAGCUUUGUGGUAGAUUUUAGUUGCACGUGGAGGCUGUCAGAGGAGGAAUGAUUGAUUUUAGGCUUAGUGAAAGGUAAUGCAAUGGUUUGGCUGAUGCUUGUGAGUAAAGCCAGAAGGAUUGUUGUUAAUCCUUCUUGUUUGUUGGUAAUCAAAACGGAUGGGGAAUGAACAUCUACUGUUCUUCUGUCUCUAGGAAUGUUUGGAUUACAGUGAUGAAAUGUAAGAAUUCAAAUGCCGUUCCUACCAACAUCUUCCUGUCAAUGGCUCUUGAAAACUUUUUUUUUUUCUUUUCUUUUUCUUUUCUAAGAACGUAAUAACCACACCUAAGUUUUGGAUGCUUCUUAUUCAUCUGCCGAUCAAGUAGAUUAUACAAUUAAGGCGAAAAUGUAUAGUUGGAUUAAAAAACCAAAAUGUAGAAAUAGUAAUAGAGUUUUUUUUUUGCUAAUAUUUAUUGAUUUGGUAGAGAUAUAAUAUUCAAAGUUACAAGUAGGAAAUGCAUCAUUGAACUUGUAUUAUCUUCUCAUUCAUUAUCUUUCUGUUUAUUUACUUUUUGGGGGCAAAGGAGAUACAGAAAGAGGAGGGGAUCUGAGUUAAAGUGGAUAAUUAUUUAAGUACUUUCUUCUUUUUUUCCCCAAUUUUGUGUUGGUGGUAUGUGACGGAUAUUGUUUGGCUGCUUGUUGGUCUGUUUUAAAAGAAGUGCAAAGUGCUGUCUCUGUAUAUUUACACUGACUUGAACUGUAUGCAAUAUGCAUCCUUAAGACUAUUUUAUUUCCUUAUUUAAAAAAAUGCAGAUUUUCAUUUAUAUAUGAAUUCUAGUCUUUGUUAGCAUUCAUGAGCCCACCCUGGAGACCUGGAAGCAAGCUGUGAAAAUCUUCUUGCACCAGACAGAAUCAAGAAACCAAUGGGGGUUUCAAACGGUGGUUGGAGAAGAAAGCAAUUGCUCAAAAGAAGAAGGGGGUUCAGCAGAAGAAGCAGCAUGUGCAGAACAGUGGGGAAGUAUUUAGGCAAUUUGAAUGAAAAGCUUUUCUUUUUUGUAAAAUAUGUGGAAGAAGCCAAGGAAGAUGGCAAUAUAAGGUAUCUGAUUGGGAAAGUGAUUCUCAUUUAUUAAUGAGAUGAGAAGAAUGAUGGCAAAUAUCAGUUGUGGCCGUGGGGGAGAAGGAUUAUGAGUAUGGCCCAGCUGGGAAAGUGGGGUACAAAAAUGGGGUUAGGUUGUUUUCAACGCUUUUAGUACCGAUGAAAAAGCUCAAAAAAGCUUGAGAAAGAAGCCAUGGGGAAUCAGAAUCCUUUCUUCCCUUUCACUGUUCAUGAGCCUGGUUCUCAGCUUUUCAGUUUUGUAAAAUCUUUUUUAUCGAUUUUGUCACCGACAUUCUCUCUUUCUUGUGUGUGAGAGAGAAUGAAAGAUUAGUGCAUGAGUUUGAGUUCAACUUGUUAGAGAAUGAAGUGGAUUUAUGUCAAUCAUGUUUGUUUUAUUCAAAAUACAUCUUGUGAUUUAAGGUUUGA